CAACAGAAUGCAGUGGGAGUUUUCAAGAUAGAUAGUUUUGUAGAACCCUGAAAAAGGUCUUUAAGUCUUGUUAAAGUCCAGAUCAAAAAUUCUAAUGGUCCAGGUGCCCCAGAUGACUCAAAAAUCCAGUUGUCCUCUUCUUGUGAAAAAACAUGGCUGUAUAAAACACAUUGUAGGCAAUUGGAAAUGACAGUCAGUGAGGGGUUAAACCAGACCAUGCGAGCUAAUUACUACACUGGGGAUAUAGUCUAUGACUCCAGCAAGCUAACCCUAUGUUAAAACCAACAGCGAAACAGAGGAAUGACACAUAGUCAACCCUAAGCACACCAGGACAAUCUGCUUCUCCACUACCUAAAGAUUCUUUAUUGAUUUAACGAUGUUAGUCUCUCUGUCAGGUUCACAGAUGGAUUCGAGAGAAAAAUGAACUAUUUCCACAUUGAUUCUUCAUUAAAAUUGCAUUUAUGCGUUUGCUAAAUUGGUUUAAAAAGCCUAUUUGCGAAUUCUCCUUGAUUAUCAGAUCUGCAGUGCCUAAGGCAAGCAUUACUUAAAGGUUGGACUUUGAUAAAG